GUGCGGUUGGCGCAGUGGUCAGCGCGUUCGCUUCUAAAUGUGGAAGGUUCCUGUACCAAAUAAAGGGAGGGGAUAGGCUCCCUCUCGGUGGGUAGUGGUCAAAGAAUCCGCCGUAGCUGCGAAAGGUCCUGGGUUCGACUCCCAGACUGCACA
rfam:Sordaria macrospora k-hell, WGS project CABT02000000 data, contig: 2.182